rnacentral:rRNA from 1 species
AUUGAACGCUGGCGGCAGGCCUAACACAUGCAAGUCGAACGAGUGGCGGACGGGUGUGUAAUGCUUGGGAAUCUGGCAUAUGGAGGGGGAUAACGUCGGGAAACUGUCGCUAAUACCGCGAUCCAUAGGAUGCGCCCAGGUGGGUUUAGGUAGUUGGUGGGGUAAUGGCACACCAAGGCGACGAUCUCUAGCUGGUCUGAGAGGAUGACCAGCCACACCGGAACUGAGACACGGCCCAGACUCCUACGGGAGGCAGCAGUGGGGAAUAUUGCACAAUGGGGGCAACCUGACGCAGCCAUGCCGCGUGAAUGAAGAAGGCCUUCGGGUUGUAAAGUUCUUUCGGUGACGAGGCGUUAAUCGCAGAAGAAGCACCGGCUAACUCCGUGCCAGCAGCCGCGGUAAUAC